rnacentral:rRNA from 1 species
ACCAGACUCCUACGGGAGGCAGCAGUGAGGAAUAUUGGUCAAUGGGCGCAAGCCUGAACCAGCCAAGUCGCGUGAGGGAAGACGGCCCUACGGGUUGUAAACCUCUUUUGCCGGGGAGCAAGCCUGAGCACGUGUGCCCAGGCGGAGAGUACCCGGAGAAAAAGCAUCGGCUAACUCCGUGCCAGCAGCCGCGGUAAUACGGAGGAUGCGAGCGUUAUCCGGAUUUAUUGGGUUUAAAGGGUGCGCAGGCGGGCUGUAAAGCCGGCGGUAAAAAUUCAGGGCUCAACCCGGGCGGGCCGUCGGAACUGGCAGUCUUGAGUGGGCGAGAAGUAUGCGGAAUGCGUG